rnacentral:rRNA from 1 species
CCUCAAAUCAGGUAGGACUACCCGCUGAACUUAAGCAUAUCAACAAGCGGAGGAAAAGAAACUAACAAGGAUUCCCCUAGUAACUGCGAGUGAAGAGGGAAAAGCUCAAAUUUGAAAUCUGGCGGUUCUUGUAGCCGUCCGAGUUGUAGUUUAGAGAAGUGCUAUCCGCGCUAGACCGUGCAAAAGUUUCUUGGAAAAGAACAUCAUAGAGGGUGACAAUCCCGUCUUUGGCACGGACUCUAGGGCUUUUGUGAUGCGCUCUCGACGAGUCGAGUUGUUUGGGAAUGCAGCUCUAAAUGGGUGGUAAAUUCCAUCUAAAGCUAAAUAUUGGCGAGAAACCGAUAGCGAACAAGUACCGUGAGGGAAAGAUGAAAAGAACUUUGAAAAGAGAGUUAAACAGUACGUGAAAUUGUUGAAAGGGAAACGCUUGAAGUCAGUCGUGUCUUGCGGAGAUCAAGUCAACCUCGGUUGGCCGUACUCUCCGCUAUGACAGGUCAGCAUCAAUUUUGACCGCUGGAUAAAGGCCUUGGGAAUGUGGCAUCCUCGGAUGUGUUAUAGACCAGGGUUCGGAUACAGUGGUUGGGAUUGAGGAACUCAGUGUGCCUUCAUGGCUGGGGCUUCGGCUCACACGACACACUUAGGAUGCUGGCAUAUA